CUUCCUGACCAUGACAGGAGGAAGGCAUCAGAGAGGGAGUGCUUGACCAGACCUUGCUGAGAAAACCAGUGGCAUUUCCUGUUUUUCCUGGUGGCUAAUAGGUCCAGCUGGGGAGCUCCCCUCCUUUGGAAGAUCAUACAGGCUACCUCUGGGUGGAGCGAUCACUCAUGGUGAGAGGAGAAGACCCUGCUGAGGUGAUCCGCUAGUGUGUUCUUGACACCAGGGAGGUGACAAGUUUCCAGAUGGAUCUCGUGGCUGAUGCAGAAGUCCCAGAGACGGAGUGCAUCUUGGCAGAGAGUUGACGAGCAAACUCCCCCUUUCCUGUUGAUGUAGAACAUUGAGGCUGUGUUGUCCAUCAGGACUCUCCUCAUCACCUUGCCUGACAGGUGAGGUAGGAAGACUCCACAUGCCAAGCAGACUGCCCUAAGUUCUUUGAUGUUUACGUGUAACGUCAUCUUUUCUGGGGAUCACAUACCCUGGGUCUGGAGAUCGCCGAGGUGUGCACCCCAGCCAAGAUCCGAGGUGUCCGAUACCAACUCGAUAGAGUGAGGUGGGGUGUCAAACGGAACUACCUCUAGGACUGUCCUGCGAUCGGUCCACAAUUGCAGUGAGGCCCAGGGAGCAGCACAUGGCUUGCAGCACUGCAAUAUCCUUUUGGACUUGAGACCUAGAGCUGCCUUUGACCAGCCAGUCGUCGAGGUAUGAGUAGAUCUGGAUUCCCUGACACCUGAGGACCUGGCUGUCGAAGCGAAGGUCCUGCAUCGACUGCUGAGCCUUGGUAGACAAGCUCGAGAGAAGCAGCCAGGAAGUUCGCUGCAUAGAGAUGGUGGAGGCCAUGGUGAAAGCAGCAGUAUCUGCCGUGUCUGAAGUUGCCUGGAGGAUCUGGCCGCAGCCAUGCCCUCCUCGAGGAUCGCCCGGAAUUCCUUCCUGGAGCCUUCGGGGAGCGAAGCCUCAAACUUGGCCAUGGCUUGCCACAUGUAGUAAUUGUAGUGGCCAAGGAGAGCUUAGUGAUUGGCCACUCUCAACUGCAGGCU